rnacentral:rRNA from 1 species
AUUGAACGCUGGCGGCAGGCCUAACACAUGCAAGUCGAGCGGUAGAGAGGUGCUUGCAUCUCUUGAGAGCGGCGGACGGGUGAGUAAUGCCUAGGAAUCUGCCUAGUGGUGGGGGAUAACGUUCGGAAACGGACGCUAAUACCGCAUACGUCCUACGGGAGAAAGCGGGGGGAGUCUUCGGACCUCGCGCCAUUAGAUGAGCCUAGGUCGGAUUAGCUAGUUGGUGAGGUAAUGGCUCACCAAGGCGACGAUCCGUAACUGGUCUGAGAGGAUGAUCAGUCACACUGGAACUGAGACACGGUCCAGACUCCUACGGGAGGCAGCAGUGGGGAAUAUUGGACAAUGGGCGAAAGCCUGAUCCAGCCAUG